CCGUCGCUCUGCGGCAAGAGAAUGAAAUCCUGGAGCUGCCUGCUCAGUACAGUCCGAUUGGUCCUCCUCCUGAUUCUGAGGAGGAAAUAAUUGAGCAAGCUCCAGACGAAGAGGACCUAGGCGAAGAAUUGGAAAUGAUGGAGAAUGCUUAUAAUGAUCUACCGGAACCUGCUCAGCCGGCAGGACUGCUGGAGCUGAAAAUGUACGUGUUCUCAUCAAAGCGGUCUAAGCGGGCCGUAGAGAGGAUUUGGUGCAAGACUAGUGGCACCAAGAUCUUAGAGAGGC